AUUUUUCCUCGACUCUCUAUUCCUUUCUUUCCCCCACAACAAACAGGAAUUUCGUGUGGUUAGCUCACGAAUUGUUAUCCGGUAUCCCAUACUUUUUUGAAAGAAUUAAUAUAAAAGGACUGUAUUUUUUAUCCGGUACUUUGGUAGGAUGAAUAAUGAUGUGAUGAAUUGUGUUAUCCGGUAUCCCAUACCUUUUAAUAAAAGAAUAUAAAUGUAAAAGGACUGUAAUUUUUAGUGAACUCCUCCCUCUGAAUUUCAGAACUGAAGCACACCAACUUAUUACUACUACUACUACCAACUAGUAGUAUAUCACAAAAACUAAAAGAAUAAUGAGGUCUUCCUAUAACACCACGUGCUUUGAAUUUUAGUCAAGAUUGUCCUAUCUAAUUGUGCUGAAAAGUCAGCUGAUCAUCAUGUUGCAAUAGAUUCUGACGAAAUAUCCAACGGCAUUUAGAGGGUGGAGCAGCUGUCUACGUCGUGGUCUCUUUCCGAGAGCCAAGUGACCAUCUCUUGGUUGUUGAUGUCGUUAGAGAGGCUGCGGCAGUAUGGGUCGUGGCAUUGCUCCAUCCGUACGUUCAUGGAGAGCGUUUUUGAGAGGGA
rnacentral:lncRNA from 1 species